AUGAUUGCUCUGAUCAUUCUAUCCCCAUAAUUCGUUAUAAGAGAAAUGUCAAAUUUUUGAAAUGUGUUUUUGGUGAAAUGGACAUAAAGAAUUUUUCGUAGUGAAAGUGUGAAAAUAAGUUUUUAGGUGAUUAAAGAAAUGUAGGAUGCUUUAGGAAGUGGUCAGCUGUGAAACGAUUUGAAUUUCGCUAACAAAUCAUGAAUGAGCAACUUGUAUUCCACAAAUUUCGUGUGUUUGGAACUUAUCAGCAAAUGUUUGCCAUUUUGUUUUUCUGAAGAGUUUUUGAUGACACUGAUUUGAAACAGGCGAUCUUCGAGGCACCAUGCAACUAUAAGGAGAACACAAAAUGCAUGAAUGUUCAAGAAAAUAUCAAUAAAAUUUUUAUUGAUAAUUGCAACCCGAAA